rnacentral:rRNA from 1 species
UCCGGAGGGUGCAAGCGUUAUCCGGAUUUACUGGGUUUAAAGGGUGCGUAGGCGGGCCCUUAAGUCAGUGGUGAAAGCUCCGAGCUUAACUCGGAAACUGCCAUUGAUACUAUAGGUCUUGAAUUCGGUCGAGGUUGGCGGAAUGUGUCGUGUAGCGGUGAAAUACUUAGAUAUGACACAGAACACCGAUUGCGAAGGCAGCUAGCUAGACCGACAUUGACGCUGAGGCACGAAAGCGUGGGGAGCAAACAGG